UGGGGAAUUUUGCACAAUGGGGGAAACCCUGAUGCAGCGACGCCGCGUGAUUUAGAAGGCCUUCGGGUUGUAAAAAUCUUUUGUAUGGGAAGAAAAUGACAGUACCAUACGAAUAAGGACCGGCUAAUUACGUGCCAGCAGCCGCGGUAAUACGUAAGGUCCGAGCGUUGCCCGGAAUCAUUGGGCGUAAAGGGUACGUAGGCGGAUAAGCAAGUUAGAAGUGAAAUCCUAUAGCUCAACUAUAGUAAGCUUUUAAAACUGCUCAUCUUGAGGUAUGGAAGGGAAAGUGGAAUUCCUAGUGUAGCGGUGAAAUGCGCAGAUAUUAGGAGGAAUACCGGUGGCGAAGGCGACUUUCUGGCCAUAUACUGACGCUGAGGUACGAAAGCGUGGGUAGCAAACAGG
rnacentral:rRNA from 1 species